UACGUAGGGGGCUAGCGUUGUCCGGAAUCAUUGGGCGUAAAGCGCGUGUAAGCGGCUCGGUAAGUCCGCUGUGAAAGUCGGGGGCUCAACCCUCGGAUGCCGGUGGAUACUGUCGGGCUAGAGUACGGAAGAGGCGAGUGGAAUUCCUGGUGUAGCGGUGAAAUGCGUAGAUAUCGGGAGGAACACCUGUGGCGAAAGCGGCUCACUGGACCAUAACGUGACGCUGAUGCACGAAAGCUGGGGGAGCAAACAGG
rnacentral:rRNA from 1 species